GACGAACGCUGGCGGCGUGCUUAACACGUGCAAGUCGAACGGAAAGGCCCUGCUUUUGUGGGGUGCUCGAGUGGCGAACGGGUGAGUAACACGUGAGUAACCUGCCCUUGACUUUGGGAUAACUUCAGGAAACUGGGGCUAAUACCGGAUAGGAGCUCCUGCUGCAUGGUGGGGGUUGGAAAGUUUCGGCGGUUGGGGAUGGACUCGCGGCUUAUCAGCUUGUUGGUGGGGUAGUGGCUUACCAAGGCUUUGACGGGUAGCCGGCCCGAGAGGGUGACCGGCCCCAUUGGGACUUGGGUACGGCCCCGGCCCCCACGGGGGGACGCCGGGGGGAAUAUUGCCACAUGGGCGGAAGCCUGAUGCAGCAACGCCGCGGGGGGGAUGACGGCCUUCGGGUUGUAAACCCCUUUCCCCUGUGACGAAGCCUGAGGGGCGGUAAAGGGAAAAGAAGCCCCCGCUAACCACC
rnacentral:rRNA from 1 species